rnacentral:sRNA from 1 species
GCUGGGCGUGGUGGUGCACGCCUGUAAUCCCAGUGGCUCUGGAGGCUGAGGCAGGAGGAUCAUGAGUUUGAAGCCAGCCUCAGCAAAAGCAAGGCACUAAGCAACUCAGUGAGACCCUGUCUCUA